CUGCCUUACACAGGGGGAUAACACCUGGAAACAGGUGCUAAUACCGCAUAAGCGCACAGGGCCGCAUGGCCCGGUGUGAAAAACUCCGGUGGUGUAAGAUGGACCCGCGUCUGAUUAGCUUGUUGGCGGGGUAGGGGCCCACCAAGGCGACGAUCAGUAGCCGGCCUGAGAGGGUGGACGGCCACAUUGGGACUGAGACACGGCCCAAACUCCUACGGGAGGCAGCAGUGGGGGAUAUUGGACAAUGGGGGAAACCCUGAUCCAGCGACGCCGCGUGAGUGAAGAAGUAUUUCGGUAUGUAAAGCUCUGUCAGCAGGGAAGAAAGAAAUGACGGUACCUAACCAAGAAGCCCCGGCUAACUACGUGCCAGCAGCCGCGGUAAUACGUAGGGGGCAAGCGUUAUCCGGAAUUACUGGGUGUAAAGGGAGCGUAGACGGUGAUGCAAGUCUGGAGUGAAAGGCGGGGGCCCAACCCCCGGACUGCUCUGGAAACUGUGUAACUUGAGUGCAGGAGAGGUAAGCGGAAUUCCUAGUGUAGCGGUGAAAUGCGUAGAUAUUAGGAGGAACACCAGUGGCGAAGGCGGCUUACUGGACUGUAACUGACGUUGAGGCUCGAAAGCGUGGGGAGCAAACAGGAUUAGAUACCCUGGUAGUCCACGCCGUAAACGAUGA
rnacentral:rRNA from 1 species